AUUCUGCCCAAGCGGGGAAGGAUGAGAAGCUUCGACCAAGGUUCGACUUGAGCGCCAGCGAGAGAGCGUUGCCGCAGGCAACGACCCGAAGGGCGAAGCGCGCAGCGCUGAGUAAUCCUUCCCCAACCACCA
rnacentral:sRNA from 1 species